GACGAACGCUGGCGGCGUGCUUAACACAUGUAAGUCGAACGGAAAGGCCCUGCUUUUGUGGGGUGCUCGAGUGGCGAACGGGUGAGUAACACGUGAGUAACCUGCCCUUGACUUUGGGAUAACUUCAGGAAACUGGGGCUAAUACCGGAUAGGAGCUCCUGCUGCAUGGUGGGGGUUGGAAAGUUUCGGCGGUUGGGGAUGGACUCGCGGCUUAUCAGCUUGUUGGUGGGGUAGUGGCUUACCAAGGCUUUGACGGGUAGCCGGCCUGAGAGGGUGACCGGCCACAUUGGGACUGAGGUACGGCCCAGACUCCUACGGGAGGCAGCAGUGGGGAAUAUUGCACAAUGGGCGGAAGCCUGAUGCAGCAACGCCGCGUGCGGGAUGACGGCCUUCGGGUUGUAAACCGCUUUCGCCUGUGACGAAGCGUGAGUGACGGUAAUGGGUAAAGAAGCACCGGCUAACUACGUG
rnacentral:rRNA from 1 species